rnacentral:rRNA from 1 species
CAUAUUGGACAAUGGGCGAAAGCCUGAUCCAGCCAUUCCGCGUUUUUGUAGAAGGUCUUCGGACUGUAAAGCCCUUUAAGUUGGGAGGAAGGGGUUGAAGCUAAUACCUUCAAUCUUUUGCGUUACCACCAAGAUAAGCACCGGCUAACUCUGUUCCAGCAGCCGCGGUAAUACAGAGGGUGCAAGCGUUAAUCGGAAUUACUGGGCGUAAAGCGCGCGUAGGUGGUUCAGGAAGAUGGAAGUGAAAUCCCCGGGCUUAACCUGGGAACUGCUUUCAUAACUGCUGAGCUAGAGUACGGUAGAGGGUAGUGGAAUUUCCUGUGUAGCGGUGAAAUGCGUAGAUAUAGGAAGGAACAUCAGUGGCGAAGGCGACUACCUGGACUGAUACUGACACUGAGGUGCGAAAGCGUGGGGAGCAAACAGG